AGAGUUUGAUCAUGGCUCAGGACGAACGCUGGCGGCGUGCUUAACACAUGCAAGUCGAACGGAAAGGCCCUUUUCGGAGGGUGCUCGAGUGGCGAACGGGUGAGUAACACGUGGGUGAUCUGCUGCACUUCGGGAUAAGCUUGGGAAACUGGGUCUAAUACCGGAUAGGACUACGGCCUGCAUGGGUUGUGGUGGAAAGC
rnacentral:rRNA from 1 species